UGGUGCCUACGGGACGCAGCAGUGAGGAAUAUUGGUCAAUGGCCGGAAGGCUGAACCAGCCACGUCGCGUGAGGGAAUAAGGCCCUAUGGGUCGUAAACCUCUUUUGUCAGGGAGCAAAGGCGUCCACGAGUGGACGAAAGGAGAGUACCUGAAGAAAAAGCAUCGGCUAACUCCGUGCCAGCAGCCGCGGUAAUACGGAGGAUGCGAGCGUUAUCCGGAUUUAUUGGGUUUAAAGGGUGCGUAGGCGGAGUGUCAAGUCAGCGGUAAAAUUUCGGGGCUCAACCCCGUCGUGCCGUUGAAACUG
rnacentral:rRNA from 1 species